rnacentral:misc_RNA from 1 species
ACAGCGUAGAAGUAGGGUGUGCGCGCCUCUUCUUCUCACUCCAGCCAUACACAUUGCUUGUGACCUGCAGUCGUGCUACAGCAGAACCGCCCACUUGAAGUCCACCUAACUCAGCUAUAAGUACUCGGUCAAGUCCUGAUGUUGACAAGGUUCUUCCCCGUCCAGAACCUCACUUCGAGCUCAAGAACUGAGAACGAAGCCUCAUCGUGGCCUUGGCAAUAGAGAAGCAAUUCAUUUACUGGAUAUCUUAUCAUCUUAUGCUUUGUAAGAAAUCAUUUUUGACGAUUUUGUUCAGCUUUACAGACGGUUCAGCAACUGUAUUCUCUAAAAAUAACUUUAUAUAUGUUCUACAGCGACGUUGCUGUCAGUUUCAUAUUCGUUGGCAUUGCUAUAACUGAGCUCAUGUUCAACUGAAUACACGAAUUGACGUGAAUCAGUCUUAAGUUCUGAGAAGCUUAUGAGCAACAGUCAAGCAAGACACACUGACAGAUUUUUAAACAUAUGUAUUUUUCAUUUGAAGAGGCCAGUUGGAAUUAUCAGAUUACAACCUUCCAGGAACAAUAUAACAUUCCAGAGACAAUAGUCGUGCAGCUAUCUUGACUGUCGCAGCUAUGAAAAUUUUAUUUACGACGGAAUGCAAGGAUAUGUAAUUUACUAGUCACUGUUUUGCUCAAUUGUUUUCUUAUACAUUGUGUUUCUUUCAGUUUUUGUUGAAAUGUUUUAUUUUCGUUGAGUAAUAAAUCUAAAUAAAAC